AGGAUAUGUUGUGCAGCCAGAUAAAUUGCCAGAUUACGUAGUCCCUGAUCUCACUGGCUUUAAGCUGAAACCAUAUGUAUCUCAGUGUCCUAUACAAGUGAACACAAACGAGUCAACCGAAGCUUCCAAGUAACCAUCAGGAGAUAGAGAUCAAGGGGAGUGGGAAGCUGCUGCAGACAUAAUGGAAGGGAACGAAUCAUCUGGCAUAAUAGCAGUAUAAAGACUAGUAGUCAGCAUAAGUUGUAUAUUUGUUAUUGUUACUAUUAAAAGAUUAAUAAACAUAAGUUGAUCACUAUGAAUCAGUACUGAAACAGAGUUGAAAACAGAGGAUACUUGUCAUGCGUUAUGCAAAAUCCAAAAUAAAUGUAUGAAAACUUCAUUAGGCC